GUUCCGUGAUGAUUGGCCUCAUGCGUGUCAUCUGACCCUCUCGCGCCCCCACAGUUUCCCUUCCAACCAGCGUUCUGUUGUGUUGGGGGGACACAUGGGGUCCGGGUGGGGGACAUGAUCAUAACUUGACAAGGUC